GGGGAAUAUUGCGCAAUGGGGGAAACCCUGACGCAGCGACGCCGGGUGUGGGGAGAAGUCUUUCGGGUCGUAAACUUCUGUCGUGAAUGAAGAACCCCCCAGGUCCGGACAGGGCCUGGGGCUCACGGGACUUCCAGAGCAAGGCCAUCGCAACUCCGUUCCAGCAGCCGCGGUAAUACGGCGGGUGCAAGCGUUACUCGGAAUCACUGGGCGUAAAGCGCGCGUAGGCGGCUUUUUAAGUCGGACGUGAAAGCCCUCGGCUCAACCGGGGAAUUGCGUUCGAAACUGGGAGGCUUGAGUCCUGGAGAGGGUGGCGGAAUUCCGGGUGUAGGAGUGAAAUCCGUAGAUAUCCGGAGGAACACCGGUGGCGAAGGCGGCCACCUGGACAGGUACUGACGCUGAGGCGCGAAAGCGUGGGGAGCAAACA
rnacentral:rRNA from 1 species